GUAGGGAAUAUUGGGCAAUGGAUGCAAGUCUGACCCAGCCAUGCCGCGUGGAGGAAGAAGGUCCUCUGGAUUGUAAACUCCUUUUUUGGGGGAAGAAUAGUUCUCUUGCGAGGGAAUGUGACGGUACUCUAAGAAUAAGCCACGGCUAACUACGUGCCAGCAGCCGCGGUAAUACGUAGGUGGCAAGCGUUGUCCGGAUUUAUUGGGUUUAAAGGGUGCGUAGGUGGUUUGAUAAGUCAGUGGUGAAAGCUGGUUGCUCAACAAUCAAGUUGCCAUUGAUACUGUCGAACUUGAGAGAAGUGGAGGUUCAUGGAAUGGAUGGUGUAGCGGUGAAAUGCAUAGAUAUCAUCCAGAACGUCGAUUGCGAAGGCAGUGGGCUGUACUUUAUCUGACACUGAGGCACGAAAGUGUGGGGAUCAAACAGGAUUAGAAACCCUGGUAGUCC
rnacentral:rRNA from 1 species